UGACUGGCCUUCCGGAGGGACCACGGAAUCCAGUGGCUUUGUCUAGAAGAGGAGAGAACAAAAGGCCAGAAGUGACUUUUGCCUCAGAGUUCUUGAGUCCCUUGCCUCAUCUGGGUUUGGGAACCCCGCAAGGAACAGGAUCUCAUAUUGGCUGGCCUUGAACUCAGUAUAUGGAGAACUCCUUGCUUCCUAACCCUGCUGCUUGCAUCUAGCUUGUGGCAGCCGGCUGCAAGUUGUUUCUGAUACACCACCCCACCCUUUAGGACAUCCAGGGGUCACCAAAGACAUUAUUCAGUGAGGACUGGCCUUCUGUAUCUCAAGUGAAAUCCUUGAUGUGAUUCAGGCAGUGGUGGUGCACGCCCAGUGCUUGGGAGGCAGAGGCAGGCAGAUCUCUGUGAGUUCGAGACCAGCCUGGUCUACACAGCGAGUUCCAGGACAGGCUCCAAAGCCACAGAGAAACCCUGUCUCGAAAAACAACAACAACAACAGAAAAAACUACAACAACAAAAUCCUUGAUGGGAAGAUGGACAGGGAAGGUUGUCUACAACUAUUAUCUCCUUGGUAACAGAUCAAAGGUCUGACUCCUACACAGAAUGAGUGCCCUCAAUGUGUCAAAGUGUCAGUCAUACAGGACCAGAUUCCUGAAGGACCCUGUGGGGACAACAGACCUUGGCCAGAGACCCAUUUCCCCAUCAGCCUGGGACCAGGCAGCUGUAAGACAAUGUUUACUAAAAACAUGUUUACUAAAAACAAUACAAUGCCCAGGGCAAUAAGUUCCUGAAAAGGGCUUGCCCACUAGAGCGCCAUGACCUCGACCUUUUCCAAAGACUAACCGCCUCUUCUGACCCACCCAACACAGUCUCUGGUGUCAGGGCAGAACCAGGCAGGGGUAAGACGAGCAGGAGCUUUUCUGGAGGAAAGCCUUUCUUGGGAAGUUUUCUUGAGCCUUCUUGAGGAGCCUUCUGGUCUCUCUGUCAUCAAUCCCAAUACCCUCGCCACAUUCUCGGAUACAGGUUGCACAGUGGGUGCAGCAAUUGGAGGUCUCACCGACAUGUGAAGGUGAGGUAAAUGGAUGGGGUCAUACCUUUUGCUGGCCAGGGACAGAUGGGGGAAAAUAGGAAAAGAAACGAUGGGAAAUAGUCCCUGGAAGUUUAAAUUACAGUAUCAAGUAAAAAAGUUACUUGAAGAACAGGGGACAACAAUCAAGGCUAAAA